rnacentral:rRNA from 1 species
CGCGCGAGCCGGAUCCUGGGCUCAGAUACGUCGUAACAGGGUGCCCUAAUACGAGUGUAGAGUGGCGCACGGGUGCGUAACGCGUGAGCAACCUACCUCUAUCAGGGGGAUAGCCUCUCGAAAGAGAGAUUAACACCGCAUAACAUAUCUGACCGGCAUCGGUUAGAUAUUAAAUAUUUAUAGGAUAGAGAUGGGCUCGCGUGACAUUAGCUAGUUGGUAGGGUAACGGCUUACCAAGGCGACGAUGUCUAGGGGCUCUGAGAGGAGAAUCCCCCACACUGGUACUGAGACACGGACCAGACUCCUACGGGAGGCAGCAGUAAGGAAUAUUGGUCAAUGGGCGGAAGCCUGAACCAGCCAUGCCGCGUGCAGGAUGACUGCCCUAUGGGUUGUAAACUGCUUUUGUCCAGGAAUAAACCUAGAUACGUGUAUCUAGCUGAAUGUACUGGAAGAAUAAGGAUCGGCUAACUCCGUGCCAGCAGCCGCGGUAAUACGGAGGAUCCGAGCGUUAUCCGGAUUUAUUGGGUUUAAAGGGUGCGUAGGCGGCCUAUUAAGUCAGGGGUGAAAUACGGUGGCUCAACCCCUCGCAGUGCCUUUGAUACUGAUGGGCUUGAAUCCAUUUGAAGUGGGCGGAAUAAGAAAAGUACCGGUGAAAUGCAUAGAUAUGUCUUAGAACUCCGAUUGGAAAGGGAGCUCACCUAAGCUGGUAUUGACCCUGAUGCACACAAAAAGUGGGG